rnacentral:rRNA from 1 species
CCAAUAGCGUAUAUUAAAGUUGUUGCAGUUAAAAAGCUCGUAGUUGAAUUUCGGGAUCAGUACGCUGGUCGUGCCUUCGGUAUGUACUGGUGUUACUGGUUCCUACCUUCUGACGAACCGUCAUGUCAUUAAUUUGGUGUGGCGGGGAAUCAGGACUGUUACUUUGAAAAAAUUAGAGUGUUUAAAGCAGGCUCGCGCUUGAAUACAUUAGCAUGGUAUAAUGAAAUAGGACGUUCGAUCCUAUUUUGUUGGUUUCUAGGAUUUACGUAAUGAUUAAUAGGGAUAGUUAGGGGCAUUAGUAUUCAAUUGUCAGAGGUGAAAUUCUUGGAUUUAUUGAAGACUAACUACUGCGAAAGCAUUUGCCAAGGAUGUUUUCAUUGAUCAAGAACGAAAGUUAGGGGAUCGAAGACGAUCAGAUACCGUCGUAGUCUUAACCAUAAACUAUGCCGACUAGGGAUCGGAUGAUGUUAAUUUUUUAAUGACUCAUUCGGCGCCUUACG